AAUUAUUAGCGAAUCGACUAGCGCUCUUUACGUUAUAAAAAAACCUGCCCGAAAGCAGGUUUUUAUUUAUU
rnacentral:sRNA from 29 species